ensembl:lncRNA
AUUUUUAAGCCUAAACACAGCCAUCGUGAUCUAUUUCUUCUCCCACGCAUUGUGCCCUUCUCAUUUAGUACAGCAACAAGAAGCAAAGAUUGCAUUAUUUGCUGCUUCUGUGUAUAACUCGGAUUAUUCUUGGAUUACUUUUUGUUGUAUCCAGCAGAUCAGAUAGGACUUGCUUCACAUUGUGGUACUUGAAUUACUCCCUGUAUUGUCGAUAUUGAAACAUUUAAGGUUUUAUCUGUAUUAAGAUCUUGCACCGUGUUGGCUCUUCUCUUGUAACAACUCCUCUAGCAAGAAUGUAAUUCUGGAAGCUACUGCUAACUUGGUUUGAUAUCUUUUAAUAAGACAGAACCUAGUUUUCUGUGCUCUUCACCAUGGGACGUUUGUGAAAGGUUAUUUUUAUCAAGUGACACUUUUCUUUUCAUGUCAUCCAUCUUUCACUGGAAAAGUUGAAACUGGAAGCUGGCUGUGUGGUUAUUGAGGUGUCUUCUGCUGAUGCAUGUGCUGAAGGAAACUUGAAGCCAUGUCCAGGCUGGCGUUCCGCUGAGUGCCAGUUGGUAUGUCUGUAUUUGGGGCACGAGUGGUCACGAGAGCUGCUGGUUGGACAAAGUGGGGAUGAGAGGUCGUGGUGCCAAGCGUUCCUGUAGCUGAGGUCCAGCUCUGCAUUGCUGUGAGAAGCCAUCCAGCUCUUCUCUCUGUGCUUACCGUAGUUCCUGAUGGCAGUCGCUGCCAGCUCCAGCACUGGCUGCUCUCUGCACGCUGCCCGUUUGGAUCUCUCCCUGUCCCUUUGGAAACAAGCUGUAGUGCACCGAGACAUUGUGCCGUGGACAAGCAUAGGGUGGGCUGAGUAGCUGAUGCUGACAGUGCCCUCUCCUUCCCAUUCAUCUGUUGUCUUAGAGCACGUUUUCUGGCUCAGGAGGGCUCGACUUCGGGUGUCCUCGAGCAAAGUGCUUUGAUCUAGCAGGGUGCACUGUAGUUCUUGUUGGAGUUAAGGCACACAUCAGGCAUAACGUGCGAAGCUUGCCUGUACAGGACCUGGAAGAUGCAGUCCCUGUUCUCAUGGCUGUGUUGAUUCUGUAAAACAGCAGUUUGGGAAGUAGCUGCCUGCUGCCACCCUGCAUCCUCUGCUCCUGUGUCACGGUGUCCCGGAUCCCCAGCAGCGUAGGAACUUCUUCGGAUAGGAGAGGGCUGAAGGAUGUGGGCCCAGGAAGCAGCAGUGUUCCUGGUGGGCAUAACGCCACGCCUGAUUGCUGUUCAAACCAUGGUUGCACCGGUGGUGGGGGGUAAACCUCUGCCCAGUGCCAGAGCUCUGCUGGAGUCACCUACAGAGGUUAUUUUUACCCUUUUUGGGCUUUGUCUUUUGGAUAGCGUUUAGUAGUGUACAAAAUUAUAAGCACAUUUUCAAUGAUGUGUAUUAAAGAGGCACCUUUUAUUUGUAUUAAUCACCUUUGAUAGACAAUUUGGUGCCUGCAGUUCUUGGUAAAUUGUAAAUGUCUCACUUUGGGUGUAUAAAUUGUUAACCCUUUCGAACUUAUCAAAAAUGGCUAAGUUUAAAAAAAACAAAAAUGCUUAGGAUAGAAAAUUAGCAGCUUAAUGACAAUACACUUAGUCCACUGCAAGUGCCCUCAUCCUUCCUAGCUGCAGAGUUGUUUGCUUUCCAAAGCUGAAACUUGAGCAUGGUCAACCAUUUUUUCUCAGUAACAAAGGCAGUUUUGCAUGGCAGUUCUCUUGCUGUACUCAAAUGCAUGCACUUAUUAUCUAUGCAAGCAUCUAAUAUGAACCACAGUCCGUGCUUUCAGUACCCAGAGCUGCUCGGUGGGCACCGGGGCAUGCUUUGACUCUGUGCUUCUGUUCCUUGGUGCAGCGCCGUGUUGGCACACAGGAGCAUGUACCUGGUUUCCUGCUUUAUUUGCACAUCUUUUUGAUUCUUUCCUUUGCAGAAUUCGGGAUAACUGACAAGGCUGGAGUGCAGCGUAAUGUCAAAGGAAUUUGAAACGUUGAAAUGAGAACAAACUGGUUUUCUGUAUUGUAUUGUUUUCCUUUUCUUUUCCUUUUUUCCUUUUUUUUGGUGUUUGUUUUGUUUUAAAACAGGGCAAUCCUGGUCAGCGUUCUGUACGUAGCCUGCUGCUUUGUGUACCUUUGCUGACACACUCUGGGUGGUGAGAAGGGGCUGUGGGGCAGAGCUGUGCCCCUAUGGGCCAUGCCCAGGGCUCAGCCAGCAUGGAGAGGGGUGGGAAGUGACAUUCCAAUUGGUUUUGCUGUCAUCUUUUUUUUUUCCUAUCUUUGUCAUUGCCUCCUAAUCUGAAACAAUUUGGCGGCAUCCAACGUUACCUGUGGAGGGAACUGAAAUUUAGUUUUAAUCUGUGGUGAGAUGAAAGUCCUACUACGUGGUUUCCUUAACAAAAGCACCAUGAAGCAUCUACUAUUAGGAGCUUUACUUUGUAAAAUAAAGAAAGAAGAGUGGGAAUAUGAGGAAUUGGAAUUCAGUGGAGAAAAAAAAAGGGGGGGAAAAAUGUAAUAAAAUACAAUAAAUUUAUUACUAGGCCUCCUGCCUCAGUGAGUGUUUUUCAGUCCCCUGUGGCCACCCCUCAGCACGGUCCCUUGGGGGUGGGACAGCCCUGCACCCUGUGUCCCUGGGACAUGCUUUGCUCCUAAACCUUGC